GUGAGGAAUAUUGGUCAAUGGGCGGGAGCCUGAACCAGCCAAGUCGCGUGAAGGAAGAAGGAUCUAUGGUUCGUAAACUUCUUUUGCAGGGGAAUAAAGUGCAGGACGUGUCCUGUUUUGUAUGUACCCUGAGAAUAAGGAUCGGCUAACUCCGUGCCAGCAGCCGCGGUAAUACGGAGGAUCCGAGCGUUAUCCGGAUUUAUUGGGUUUAAAGGGUGCGUAGGUGGUUUGAUAAGUCAGCGGUGAAAGUUUGCAGCUUAACUGUAAAAAUGCCGUUGAAACUGUCGGACUUGAGUGUAAAUGAGGUAGGCGGAAUGCGUGGUGUAGCGGUGAAAUGCAUAGAUAUCACGCAGAACUCCGAUUGCGAAGGCAGCUUACUAAGCUACAACUGACACUGAAGCACGAAAGCGUGGGGAGCAAACAGGAUUAGAAACCCGGGUAGUCC
rnacentral:rRNA from 1 species